GCCUGGGUGGCUCAGUGGUUGAGCGUCUGCCUUUGACUCAGGUCGUGAUCUCCCUGUCCUGGGGUCGAGUCCCACAUCAGGCU
rnacentral:tRNA from 1 species